rnacentral:lncRNA from 1 species
GAUCUCACCGGGAUGCUAGCUCCCUUGCAAAGAUUGUAUCUUGAUGGUUAAAAAUUUUUUUUCUCUCAAGAUAAUUUUAGAGAAGAAGAAGAAGUAGAAGGAUAUUGAUUGAUCUCUACUCUAAAGAUCAUGAGAAGAACCCUUUUUUCUCUUUUCUUCCUAAAACCCAUGCAACAAAUCUCUAUGCUAGAGAUGUACAAAUUUUUGUCAAAUUUUUGGACAAAGAGAAUGAGAAAAAUUCAUGUCAAAACAUGGACAAGAAAGAGAGAGAG